AUGGGUCCCAGGCUCUUCUUCUGUGUGGCCCUUUGUCUCUUGUGGGUAGGACACAUGGAAGCUGGAGUCACCCAGAGCCCAGGACACAAGGUUUUAAGAACAGGAAAGGAGGUGACUCUGAGAUGUCACCAGACUGACGACCAUUACUACAUGUACUGGUACCGACAGGAUCCUGGGCUGGGGCUGAGGCUGAUCCAUUACUCAACUGAUGCUGGUAUCACUGAAAAAGGAGACAUCCCUGAUGGUUAUAGCGUCUCCAGAUCAAGUAAAGAGGACUUCCUCCUCAUGCUGGAGUCUGCCACCCCCUCACAGACAUCUGUGUACUUCUGUGCCAGCAGUUACUCCACACUUCUGAUUUGCUUUCAGAAUGAGGCUAUUUCAGAUGAUUCACAGUUGCCAAAGGAUCGAUUUUCUGCGAAGAGGCCCAAAGGAGCAGACUCUACUCUCAAGAUCCAGCCUGCAGAGCUGGGGGACUCGGCUGUGUAUCUAUGUGCCAGCAGCUUAGCCACAGCGUUGCAGAGAUACUUCCCUCCUGUGCACAAAACUGUGUGCUUCUAUUCUCUCUGCUCAGCUCACAGCAGCACUGAACAGAAGCCUCACCUUAUUCCUCAUCAUACAUGA